CGUUCAGGGGUAAACCUGCGAAACUCGAAUGAACGAACGGGGAGAUUCAUCGUCAUUCGGCGGACGGCGUUGCGGUCGCGCGAUGUGCGGAACGCCGGUGAUCUCGAUCGCCGGUUCGAGCUGCUCACGUGCAUCGUGACGUGUCAUAGUCCGCCGGCGGCGUGCACUUCUCCCUUAGUACUGCAUCGCGACCCGCUCGUCGACGGUCUGAGCUCCGUACGGGAGUCCGUGAUGACUCGUGCAUCAUGGACCGUCGCGGUUGCCGACCGUCUGUCGGGCGGUAGUGAACAAGAAACGCGCACGCGUCUAGCGCGUCCGGCCCGACGCAAGGUCGUCGCGACGCCGCCGUUACGCCACUGUGCGUUCGGUGCGCGUCCGGCGCCUGCUCAUCGCAGCCGUGUCGUAUCGGACGUGCGCGAAUCUAGUCUGCGAUGUUUUUGUUUCGGGCACUCGCAGGACCCGUCUUGAAACACGGACCAAGGAGUCUAGCAUGUGUGCGAGUCAAUAGGUGCUAAACCGAAAGGCUUAACGAAAGUGAAGGCGCGCGCUUGCCGCGUGCUCUGGGAGGAUGGCGUUCGACUCUCGCGGUCGGCGUCCGCACUCCCGAGGCGUCCCGUUCGCAAUUCGUCGAUGUGGGCGCGCUCUGAGCACACACGCUGGGACCCGAAAGAUGGUGAACUAUGCCUGGUCAGGUCGAAGUCAGGGGAAACCCUGAUGGAGGACCGUAGCGAUUCUGACGUGCAAAUCGAUCGUCGGAACUGGGUAUAGGGGCGAAAGACUAAUCGAACCAUC
rnacentral:rRNA from 1 species